UACGUAGGGGGCGAGCGUUGUUCGGAUUUACUGGGCGUAAAGGGCGCGUAGGCGGUCAGCACAAGUCAGUUGUGAAAUCUCCGGGCUUAACUCGGAAAGGUCAACUGAUACUGUGCGACUAGAGUGCAGAAGGGGCAACUGGAAUUCCCGGUGUAGCGGUGGAAUGCGUAGAGAUCGGGGAAGAACAUCAGUGGCGAAGGCGGCCUGCUGGGCUGUUGCUGACGCUGGAGGCGCGACAGCGUGGGGGAGCAAACGGG
rnacentral:rRNA from 1 species